rnacentral:lncRNA from 1 species
CGCCGCUGCCCUACCGGCCCUCGUCCUUCGGCCUGCUGGGCCCUCCCGCUCCCCAAGAUCCCUGGCCGCUGCCCGCCUUUCCCCCCGCCGUCGCCCCCGCCUCCCCCGCUGUCCUUCUUCCUGACCCCUCCCUGCUGACCUCCGGUGCUGCGAGGCCGCCGGCUGCUGGGGCUGCGCUCCGGUGGCCCGGCUCAGGUAACCAGGCUGGCAGCCCAUCUCCAUGGGCUUUUCUGCAGUAGCUCAGGAGUAUCAGGAAGCCAACCCUGACCUUGGAGGACCUCUAAGAGCCCAGGACCCACCAGCAAGAAAAGUUGUGCAGUUGCAGGCCGGGACUUUAGCUCAGUGGUUCUGCUACCUGCUUCAAAAGUGCAAGGACCCGAGUUUGAUCCCCGGUACCAGAAAAAAAGAAGAAAAAAAAAAAAGUUGUACAGUUGCAAUUGGCUAACAAGUGAAGCGGAGUAAACAAGAGGGACAAUGAAUGUGUCCUCUUAAAGAUAGCACUAAUCAGGGGACCCCACCCUUAGACUCUGGGAGCCAGAAGUGCUGCUGGUUGGAAGCUGAUGAUCACAGCCGACAAUAAAGUUAAUUGUUACCCAGUCAAUAGUGUCUGUUGUGGUUUACAAGUGAAACUUCUCUUAUGCUCUUGACAAAAUAGUGAUCCCCAAAGUGUGGAUGUGUGCCCCAGAAAGUACAUGGGACAGUCCUGGAGGUCGGUACCAGUCCCAGAGACACCUGUGGUUGGGCAGUUGUGACUUGCCCGGGAAGGCCCUGGGGUGGAAAUCCAGUCUGCAGCCUCAAGGGCAAAGGGCACAAGGCACCUAGAUUUGAGGAGAGUGAAGGAGAGGGUGGAGGGUAGUCGGGUCUAGAUAUCUUCCCCCCAAGGAAAAGAGAAUGGGUGGUUCAGGGAGGCUGAGCAGGGGAGAAGCUCAGGCUUACCGCCUGCUGGGAAUAGCACCCUGAGGAACCAGGUGGGGACCCCGUUGGAAGUCAAGGUCUG